rnacentral:rRNA from 1 species
GACGAACGCUGGCGGCGUGCUUAACACAUGCAAGUCGAACGGAAAGGCCCUGCUUUUGUGGGGUGCUCGAGUGGCGAACGGGUGAGUAACACGUGAGUAACCUGCCCUUGACUUUGGGAUAACUUCAGGAAACUGGGGCUAAUACCGGAUAGGAGCUCCUGCUGCAUGGUGGGGGUUGGAAAGUUUCGGCGGUUGGGGAUGGACUCGCGGCUUAUCAGCUUGUUGGUGGGGUAGUGGCUUACCAAGGCUUUGACGGGUAGCCGGCCUGAGAGGGUGACCGGCCACAUGGGGACUGAGAUACGGCCCAGACGCCUACGGGAGGCAGCAGUGGGGAAUAUUGCACAGUGGGCGGAAGCCUGAUGCAGCAACGCCGCGUGCGGGAUGACGGCCUUCGGGUUGUAAACCGCUUUCGCCUGUGACGAAGCGUGAGUGACGGUAAUGGGUAAAGAAGCACCGGCUAACUACGUG